rnacentral:tRNA from 1 species
GGAGCCAGUAUGGUGUAGUGGUUAGGAGCGGCAGUCUCAUAAUCUGGUGAACUGGGUUCGAUUCCCUGCUCCUCCA